AACGUAAGCGGUGGUGAAUCAAGUUGAAAGUGAAAGCCACAAAAAACUGGUGGAAUGCUAUCGAAACCAGUUCACUUGAGUGAGACAAAGGAGAGUGGAAUUUUGUGUGUAGGGGUGAAAUUCGGGGAUGUACGAAGGAACGCCAAGAGCGAAGGUAGUGCUCUAGGUCCCUAUCGACUCUGAGGUGCAAUAACAUGGGGAGCGAACACGAUUAAAUACACUCAUUGCCCAUGUCAUAAGUGAUGAGUCUUUACCCU
rnacentral:ncRNA from 1 species